AUGGAAGUUGCAAAAGCCGUGGCCACGAAUUUGAGCACGGCGGCCAACUCGACAGUACUUAGAACCGUGGCGUCAUCAACAUCGUCGAUAAUCGGUGCGGCGGCAGCAGCAGUGGCUGAGGCUCAGCCGUCGGCCUCUCCAUCCACAUCUUCAUCAUUUCUACUGCUGGAAGUUCCAUUCCGUCACUUGCUCCGACUACAACCACCACCAUAUUUUAUUGCCGGAACAAGACGGAUGGCAGCUCAGCUUGAUGUUACGACACUGAUUGCCAUCGUUGGCUUCGUCUUCGUAUUUUGCCUCUACCUUAUUCACAUUAUUGCAUUGUCUUAUUCAAAAUAUCGAUUACAUCACAAAGUGAAAGAAGAUUCAUCGCUUCCUGGAGUUUCUAUAAUUAAACCAAUUGUUGGAAAAGAUAAUAAUUUAUACGAGAAUAUAGAAUCAUUUUUCACCACACAAUAUCACAAAUAUGAACUUUUGUUCUGUUUCAACUCUUCAGAUGAUGAAGCUGUGGAAGUUGUGAAGUGUCUCAUGAAGAAAUAUCCGAAGGUUGAUGCGAAACUUUUCUUUGGAGGUGAAACCGUUGGACUGAAUCCAAAGAUCAACAACAUGAUGCCUGCGUAUCGUUCUGCACUUUAUCCGCUGAUAUUAGUUAGUGACAGUGGAAUAUUUAUGCGUUCAGAUGGUGUUUUGGAUAUGGCCACAACGAUGAUGAGUCAUGAGAAAAUGGCAUUAGUGACACAGACACCGUAUUGUAAGGAUCGAGAAGGUUUCGAUGCGGCUUUUGAGCAGAUGUAUUUUGGAACUUCUCAUGGACGUAUAUACCUAGCUGGAAAUUGUAUGGACUUUGUCUGUUCCACGGGAAUGUCAUCAAUGAUGAAGAAAGAAGCACUUGAUGAAUGUGGUGGCAUUUCUAAUUUUGGAGGAUAUCUUGCAGAGGACUACUUUUUCGGAAGAGAGCUCGCAAAUCGUGGUUACAAAUCUGCAAUAUCAUCUCACCCAGCUCUCCAGAACUCAUCAUCAGUAUCGGUUUCGUCAUUUCUCGAUAGAAUUUGCAGAUGGGUCAAGUUAAGGAUUGCCAUGUUGCCACACAUUCUUCUCGUUGAGCCAUUGCAGGUAAUUCCAAAAUUCACUUUUUUUUAAAUCUCCAAUAUUAUAGGAUUGCUUCCCGUCUGGUUUAAUCAUGGCAUUCAGUUUGAAUCAUUUGGUAGGAUUGAAUAUAAUGCCAAUAUUGAUACUUCAUACUAUCUACUGGUUCAGUAUGGAUUACUCGCUAAUGAACAGUAUGCAGGUAAUAUAUUUUCUAAUAAAAUAUACAUCAACAUUUUUCAAAUUUCAGAAUGGCAAAUUGAGCUUCUCUCCACUUCAAUUUAUGCUCAUUUGGCUUUUGCGUGAGCUCACCGCUCCUUUCGUCUUUAUCAAAGCUCUUUUACAACCAACAAUUCAAUGGCGAAACAAUGUUUUUCAUUUGGCAUGGGGUGGACAGAUACUUCCACCAAAAUGUUGA
rnacentral:misc_RNA from 1 species